rnacentral:rRNA from 1 species
ACGCACGCUGGCGGCGUGCCUAAUACAUGCAAGUAGAACGCUGAAGGAGGAGCUUGCUUCUCUGGAUGAGUUGCGAACGGGUGAGUAACGCGUAGGUAACCUGCCUGGUAGCGGGGGAUAACUAUUGGAAACGAUAGCUAAUACCGCAUAAUAGUAGAUGUUGCAUGACAUUUACUUAAAAGGUGCAAUUGCAUCACUACCAGAUGGACCUGCGUUGUAUUAGCUAGUUGGUGGGGUAACGGCUCACCAAGGCGACGAUACAUAGCCGACCUGAGAGGGUGAUCGGCCACACUGGGACUGAGACACGGCCCAGACUCCUACGGGAGGCAGCAGUAGGGAAUCUUCGGCAAUGGACGAAAGUCUGACCGAGCAACGCCGCGUGAGUGAAGAAGGUUUUCGGAUCGUAAAGCUCUGUUGUAAGAGAAGAACGAGUGUGAGAGUGGAAAGUUCACACUGUGACGGUAUCUUACCAGAAAGGGACGGCUAACUACGUG